UACAGAGGCCCCGAGCGUUAAUCGGAAUUACUGGGCUUAAAGGGUGCGUAGGCGGACCAGAAAGUGCUUUGUGAAAGCCCCCGGCUCAACCGGGGAACAGCGGGGCAUACUGCUGGUCUUGAGGAAGGUAGGGGCUGCCAGAACUGUAGGUGGAGCGGUGAAAUGCGUAGAUAUCUACAGGAAUGCCGAUGGUGAAGACGGGCAGCUGGGCCUUUCCUGACGCUGAGGCGCGAAAGCUAGGGGAGCGAACGGG
rnacentral:rRNA from 1 species